rnacentral:rRNA from 1 species
CCUACGGGAGGCUGCAGUAGGGAAUAUUGCUCAAUGGGGGAAACCCUGAAGCAGCAACGCCGCGUGGAGGAUGAAGGUUUUAGGAUUGGAAACUCCUUUUGUGAGAGAAGAGAAUGACGGUAUCCCACGAAUAAGCACCGGCUAACUCCGUGCCAGCAGCCGCGGUAAUACGGAGGGAGCAAGCGUUACUCGGAAUACCUGGGCGUCAAGAGUGCGCAGGCGGGCUUGUUAGUCAGAUGUGAAAUCCUGUAGCUUAACUACAGACCUGCAUUUGAAACUUUGAGUCUAGAGUGUGGGAGAGGUAGGUGGAAUUCUUGGUGUAGCGGUCAAAUCCGUAGAUAUCACG